rnacentral:rRNA from 1 species
AUUGAACGCUGGCGGCAGGCCUAACACAUGCAAGUCGAGCGAGCGGCGGACGGGUGAGUAAUGUAUGGGGACUGCCCGAUAUAGGGGGAUAACUCCUGGACACGGUCGCUAAUACCGCAUCCUCUCUGAUAACCCCUAUGGGGUUAGCGAGUAGGUGAGGUAAUGGCUCACCUAGGCGACGAUCCCUAGCUGGUCUGAGAGGAUGAUCAGCCACACUGGGACUGAGACACGGCCCAGACUCCUACGGAGGCAGCAGUGGGGAAUAUUGCACAAUGGGCGCAAGCCUGAUGCAGCCAUGCCGCGUGUAUGAAGAAGGCCUUAGGGUUGUAAAGUACUUUCAGUCGGGAGGCGUUACCGACAGAAGAAGCACCGGCUAACUCCGUGCCAGCAGCCGCGGUAAUAC